rnacentral:rRNA from 1 species
GAUGAACGCUGGCGGCGUGCUUAACACAUGCAAGUCGAGCGAAGCGAUUUAAGUGAAGUUUUCGGAUGGAUCUUGGAUUGACUGAGCGGCGGACGGGUGAGUAACGCGUGGAUAACCUGCCUCACACAGGGGGAUAACAGUUAGAAAUGACUGCUAAUACCGCAUAAGCGCACAGUACCGCAUGGUACAGUGUGAAAAACUCCGGUGGUGUGAGAUGGAUCCGCGUCUGAUUAGGUAGUUGGUGGGGCAACGGCCCACCAAGCCGACGAUCAGUAGCCGACCUGAGAGGGUGACCGGCCACAUUGGGACUGAGACACGGCCCAAACUCCUACGGGAGGCAGCAGUGGGGAAUAUUGCACAAUGGGCGAAAGCCUGAUGCAGCGACGCCGCGUGAGUGAAGAAGUAUCUCGGUAUGUAAAGCUCUAUCAGCAGGGAAGAAAAUGACGGUACCUGACUAAGAAG